rnacentral:rRNA from 1 species
AGCGAACGCUGGCGGCAGGCCUAACACAUGCAAGUCGAACGAACCCUUCGGGGUUAGUGUCGGACGGGUGAGUAACAGGUGGGGACGUGCCUUUGGGUUAGGAAUAAGUCAGGGAAACUUGUUCUAAUACCGAAUGUGCCCUUCGGGGGAAAGAUAUAUCGCCUUUAGAGCGGCCCGCGUCUGAUUAGCUAGUUGGUGAGGUAAUGGCUCACCAAGGCGACGAUCAGUAGCUGGUCUGAGAGGAUGACCAGCCACAUUGGGACUGAGACACGGCCCAAACUCCUACGGGAGGCAGCAGUGGGGAAUCUUGCGCAAUGGGCGAAAGCCUGACGCAGCCAUGCCGCGUGGAUGAUGAAGGUCUUAGGAUUGUAAAAUCCUUUCACCGGUGAAGAUAAUGACUGUAGCCGGAGAAGAAGCCCCGGCUAACUUCGUGCCAGCAGCCGCGGUAA